CCUACGGGAGGCAGCAGUGGGGGAUAUUGCACAAUGGGGGAAACCCUGAUGCAGCAACGCCGCGUGUGGGAAGAAGGUUUUCGGAUUGUAAACCACUGUUCUUGGUGAAGAUAAUGACGGUAACCAAGGAGAAAGCUCCGGCUAACUACGUGCCAGCAGCCGCGGUAAUACGUAGGGAGCAAGCGUUGUCCGGAUUUACUGGGUGUAAAGGGAGCGCAGGCGGGAAGCCAAGUCAGCUGUGAAAACUACGGGCUUAACUUGUAGACUGCAGUUGAAACUGGUUUUCUUGAGUGAAGUAGAGGUUGGCGGAAUUCCGAGUGUAGCGGUGAAAUGCGUAGAUAUUCGGAGGAACACCGGUGGCGAAGGCGGCCAACUGGGCUUUAACUGACGCUGAGGCUCGAAAGUGUGGGGAGCAAACAGGAUUAGAUACCCUUGUAGUC
rnacentral:rRNA from 1 species